GCACGGUGGGCGGGGCCAGUAAUCGGCGGUCCCUGUGCUGCUACUAGCGGGCAUACUAUGAGAAUCCACGGCUCCGCUGGUCGCUAGUAGACCCUCGAGUCGGUUGCUGCCUGACUUCUGGCCCCUGGCCUGCCUGGCCCGCUCCAGAGUCUUGGAUAUGGACCUUCUUCAGUUCCUCACCUCCCUGUCUGUCCUGCUAUUGUCUGGAACAGGAGUCACAGACACCCUGAGGUCCUCCCUGGACCCGAGCCUGGAGAUAUACAAGAAGAUGUUUGAGGUGAAGCGGAGGGAGCAGCUCUUGGCACUGAAAAACCUAGCACAGCUGAACGAUGUCUACCAGCAGUACAAGAUCCUGGAUGUCAUGCUCAAGGGGCUCUUUAAGGUGCUGGAGGACUCCCGGACAGUGCUCACUGCUGCAGGUGUGCUCCCAGAUGGGCCCUUCCCCCAGGACGAGAAACUGAAGGAUGCUUUCUCCCAAGUGGUGGAGAACACGGCCUUCUUCGGCGACGUGGUGCUGCGCUUCCCAAGGAUCGUGCACCACUACUUUGACCACAACUCCAACUGGAACCUCCUCAUCCGCUGGGGCAUCAGCUUCUGCAACCAGUCGGGCGUCUUUGACCAGGGCCCCCACUCACCCAUCCUUGGCCUGAUGGCCCAGGAGCUGGGGAUCAGCGAGAAACACUCUGACUUCCAGAACCCAUUUAAAGUAGACCGCACAGAGUUCAUCUCCAGCACUGACCCUUUCCAGAAGGCCCUGAGGGAAGAGGACAAACGCCGGAAGAAAGAAGAGAAACGGAAAGAGAUCCGAAAAGGCCCUCGGAUCUCAAGAUCACAGUCUGAGUUAUAGCCCUGGAACGGGCCAGGGCUCACGGGACCAGGAGGCGGCCAGUUGGGAGGAAAAGGAGAGUGCAGAAGCGUAGCUGAUGACGUCGGCUUCCUGGUGGUCAUUGGGAGAUUUUGCGACUUGGGCAUAACAUUUGGGGGCUCGUCCGGGAUCUCCCACCGGCUCCACGGGAGGACCGAUCCAGAGGGUCAUCUGUAGCCAGGAUUUUCCAUCAAUCAGGUGUUAGUGACCCGAACAGGAAAGAGCCUGAAGAAUCCCAAGGAGCCUGAACCAACGGUGCCACUCUACCCUAUUCUGCAGAGGGGAACAGAAGAAGAACUCCUCUUCCCUCCCCCUUACCAACCCCUGGAACCACCACCUGCCCCCACCAUCCCUCCACCCAGGGCCGAAACACAGGGAGGGGGGCCCGCACAAAAUACUUGCCAUUGGCGAGCCAUGUCCCCAGAGGGGCUGGCAGACUCAACCGUUGCCCUCCCCUUGUGAGUGGCUGCCCCCCCCCACCCCCCCGAUGAGGAAGGGAACCAACCUCAUCAAUUUUGGCCCUUCUCUACUAGUGACCUAUAUAAUUAGAGAUCCCAAAAUGCCAAGUUCUCAGAUAACCCUAGAGAUUUAACCAAUCUCCUAGAGACUGUGCUCUUUACCCACCAGCCCACCUGGGAUGACUACCAACAGCUGCUCCAGAUUCUCUUUACCACGGAAGAGAGAGAGAGUGCCGGGGUCCAGCUCCGGUGGAUCCAGGGUAAUUCGAAGGGGAGACGGAAUCGGCAUCCUAGG